rnacentral:rRNA from 1 species
AGCGAACGCUGGCGGCAGGCUUAACACAUGCAAGUCGAACGGAUCCUCCGGGAUUAGUGGCGGACGGGUGAGUAACACGUGGGAACGUGCCUUUUGGUUCGGAACAACACAGGGAAACUUGUGCUAAUACCGGAUGUGCCCUUCGGGGAAGGAUUAUCGCCAUUAGAGCGGCCCGCGUCUGAUUAGCUUGUUGGUGAGGUAAAGGCUCACCAAGGCUACGAUCAGUAGCUGGUCNGAGAGGAUGAUCAGCCACACUGGGACUGAGACACGGCCCAGACUCCUACGGGAGGCAGCAGUGGGGAAUCUUGCGCAAUGGGGGAACCCUGACGCAGCCAUGCCGCGUGAAUGAUGAAGGUCUUA